AGCAAGUCGAGCGGAACUAGACCGAGGGAGACUUGUCGUACCUCCGUGAUUUAGUCGGCGGAACGGGUGAGGUAACACCGGUGGGUAACCGUUAGCCUGUAAGAACGGGGGAGUAAUACCGGGAAACCGGGGACGUAAUACCGGAUAAUAAAAGAAGAAGACAUUUCCUCUUUUUUGUAAAGUUGGUUUCGGGUCUAACACUUACAGAUGGGCCCGCGGCGCAUUAGCUAGUUGGUGAGGUAAUGGCUCACCAAGGCGACGAUGCGUAGCCGACCUGAGAGGGUGAUCGGCCACACUGGGACUGAGACACGGCCCAGACUCCUACGGGAGGCAGCAGUAGGGAAUCUUCGGCAAUGGGCGAAAGCCUGACCGAGCAACGCCGCGUGAGCGAUGAAGGCCUUCGGGUCGUAAAGCUCUGUUGUUAGAGAAGAACAAGUACGAGAGUAACUGCUCAUACCUUGACGGUACCUAACCAGAAAGCCACGGCUAACUACGUG
rnacentral:rRNA from 1 species